rnacentral:misc_RNA from 1 species
AAGUCGUAACAAGGUUUCCGUAGGUGAACCUGCGGAAGGAUCAUUAAAAAUUUAUAUCCGGGAAUUCGUUUCGUUUUCCCGUGAUUAUUUGUAUUCAAAUCCCACUCUUUAUAAAUAUAUUAAUUAUAUAAAACAAAAAAUAAAAAAGAAAACUUUCAACAACGGAUCUCUUGGCUCUC